rnacentral:lncRNA from 1 species
UUGGGCCAAAAGGGACCCAACACACAUUUAUAAAAGGACAAAGAAACACAGUGAUCCCUUCAGAACAAAAGGAACACAAUAUAUAGCAACAUUUUGGAGUCCAAUUUGGUCCAGAAAAACCCAUUUCUAAGCCCAAGUCCAAACACUCAACAUUCCUCGGUUUACUGCCACCGCUGUGUGUUUAGAAAGAAGAGACGCCUCAUUGCAUCUACCAGGUAAUGUUUCUUAAACCCCAACUGUCUUCUUCCUUCAUAAUUCUACAAACCAUUCUAACUUUCUGGAGUUUACUUUAUUUUUCUGUGAAUUGGGGACUCUUUUCUUCAGUUUCAUGCUUUAACCAUUUUCAAGUAUUAAGGUUAGAGUGAAUAGAGUAGGGCUGGCAAUUUAGACCCUGGCGAAACCAACCAACCAUGUACCAACCGUACCAAGCAAAUUGGUAUGCCAAGUAGUUGGUAACCGAGUUUUCGGUACAGUAGUACCGUACCAAGUUUGAGGAGUCGGUUGGUACAUGGUACAAGUUUUCCUAAAAUACAGUAUACCGUGUACCAACCGAGUUAUAUUAAAAAUAAUAAAAAAAUAAUUAAAACUAUUAAUCCAAGCCGUUGAUAUGUGGAGAUGAAUCUCCAUCGUUGAUCUAACCCUAAGUUCCUAAUUCUUCUCUCACUUCUCUCAGUCUCUGCUCUCUAUUCUCUCAGUCUCUUGAUUCGGCACCUCGACUCGGCACAUGGCAGCACCUCACACCUCCGCCACCUCUACUGGGCAGCACCUCAUGCCUCCGCCACCUCACCUCACACCUCCACCACCUCGACUUCACAGCACCUCCGCCACCUCGCUUCGAGAACUGGGCAGCACCUCGCCUCUCUCGCCGUCAACCUCGCCUCUCUCAGUCUCUCGAUUCGACACCUCGACUCGGCACUCAGCAGCACCUCGCACCUCCGCCACCUCACCUCACACCUCCACCACCUCGACUUCACAGCACCUUCGCCACCUCGCUUCGAGAACUGGGCAGCACCUCGCCUCUCUCGCAAUCGACUCGGCAGCACCAAGGGCAGCGCCUCGACUCGGCAGCGCCAAGGGCAGCUCCUCGACUCUCCGACGAAGAAGCCAUCGGCUCCGUUCAAGAAGCCUUUCGCCAAGCCUUGUUCGAGACUUGUUCCUCCACAGACAACCUAUCUUUCUUCACUCUCAGGUACAUCUCAACCUGUUGCCAUUCAAAGAUUCAAACUUUCAGUUGUUUAUUUGAUUUGAUUCUCAUUUUUUUUGUUUUAUGCUGCUUUUGGGUGAGAUAGGUUUCAAACACCAAAAUACGAUUGCUUUUGGGAAAUGGGUAUUCAGGGAAUCGUCGAUACAGUGUCUUCAAUGAGUUCUCGAAGCAAGUCAAGGAGGAAACUAAUAAGUACUUCCUAUUCCCUCUCACUAUAUCUUGCAUUUGUAAUGUUGAUUUGGGUGUGUGUAGUUGAGGUCAAGGUAANNNNN